AGCCUGAUCAGCCUGCCGCGUGUGUGAAGAAGGCCUUAUGGUUGUAAAGCACUUUAAGCGAGGAGGAGGCUACUUUAGAUAAUACCUAGAGAUAGUGGACGUUACUCGCAGAAUAAGCACCGGCUAACUCUGUGCCAGCAGCCGCGGUAAUACAGAGGGUGCAAGCGUUAAUCGGAUUUACUGGGCGUAAAGCGCGCGUAGGCGGCUAAUUAAGUCAAAUGUGAAAUCCCCGAGCUUAACUUGGGAAUUGCAUUCGAUACUGGUUAGCUAGAGUGUGGGAGAGGAUGGUAGAAUUCCAGGUGUAGCGGUGAAAUGCGUAGAGAUCUGGAGGAAUACCGAUGGCGAAGGCAGCCAUCUGGCCUAACACUGACGCUGAGGUGCGAAAGCAUGGGGAGCAAACAGGAUUAGAUACCCUGGUAGUCCAUGCCGUAAACGAUGUCUACUAGCCGUUGGGGCCUUUGAGGCUUUAGUGGCGCAGCUAACGCGAUAAGUAGACCGCCUGGGGAGUACGGUCGCAAGACUAAAACUCAAAUGAAUUGACGGGGGCCCGCACAAGCGGUGGAGCAUGUGGUUUAAUUCGAUGCAACGCGAAGAACCUUACCUGGCCUUGACAUAGUAAGAACUUUCCAGAGAUGGAUUGGUGCCUUCGGGAACUUACAUACAGGUGCUGCAUGGCUGUCGUCAGCUCGUGUCGUGAGAUGUUGGGUUAAGUCCCGCAACGAGCGCAACCCUUUUCCUUAUUUGCCAGCGAGUAAUGUCGGGAACUUUAAGGAUACUGCCAGUGACAAACUGGAGGAAGGCGGGGACGACGUCAAGUCAUCAUGGCCCUUACGGCCAGGGCUACACACGUGCUACAAUGGUCGGUACAAAGGGUUGCUACACAGCGAUGUGAUGCUAAUCUCAAAAAGCCGAUCGUAGUCCGGAUUGGAGUCUGCAACUCGACUCCAUGAAGUCGGAAUCGCUAGUAAUCGCGGAUCAGAAUGCCGCGGUGAAUACGUUCCCGGGCCUUGUACACACCGCCCGUCACACCAUGGGGAGUUUGUUGCACCAGAAGUAGCUAGCCUAACUGCAAAGAGGGCGGUUACCACGGUGUGGCCGAUGACUGGGGUGAAGUCGUAACAAGGUAGCCGUAGGGGAACCUGCGGC
rnacentral:rRNA from 1 species